UACGUAGGGUGCGAGCGUUAAUCGGAAUUACUGGGCGUAAAGCGUGCGCAGGCGGUUUUGUAAGCCAGAUGUGAAAUCCCCGGGCUUAACCUGGGAAUGGCAUUUGGGACUGCAAGGCUGGAGUGCGGCAGAGGAGACUGGAAUUCCUGGUGUAGCAGUGAAAUGCGUAGAUAUCAGGAGGAAUACCGAUGGCGAAGGCAGGUCUCUGGGCUGACACUGACGCUCAUGCACGAAAGGCGUGG
rnacentral:rRNA from 1 species